CAACGUAGGUGGCGAACGUUAUCCGGAUUUACUGGGCGUAAAGCGCUCGCAGGCGGCUUCGUAAGUCUGACGUGAAAGCUCCCGGCUUAACUGGGAGAGGCCGUUGGAUACUGCGGAGCUUGAGGGCAGGAGAGGAGAGUGGAAUUCCCGGUGUAGCGGUGGAAUGCGUAGAUAUCGGGAGGAACUCCAGUGGCGAAGGCGACUCUCUGGCCUGACCCUGACGCUCAGGAGCGAAAGCGUGGGGAGCGAACAGGAUUAGAAACCCUAGUAGUCC
rnacentral:rRNA from 1 species